CAUGACCUUCAUCAUCAUCUUCAUCUGGACUCUCACAGCGUUUGCUCAAGAGUGUAGAGGACAGAUCAGCGUCACUCAGAGUCCCUCAACGACAGCAGCUCAACCAGGAGAAACAGUGAAGAUCAGCUGUAGAACCAGCACAGAUGUGUACAGGAAUCUCUUUGGGACACACUUUCUUAGCUGGUACUUACAGAAACCUGGAGAAGCUCCUAAACGCCUGAUUUAUGAAGCAAGCAGCCUCCAGUCAGGAACUCCAUCUAGAUUCAGUGGCAGUGGAUCUAACAGUGAUUUCACUCUGACCAUCAGUGGAGUCCAGACUGAAGAUGCUGGACAUUAUUACUGUCAGAGUUUCCACUGGCCGGGUAGCACUAGGCUGUUCACACAGUGAUUGUGAGUGGUACAAAAACCUGUGUCAG